GUCUACGGCCACGCCACCCUGAACGAGCCCGAUCCCGUCUGAUCUCGGAAGCUAAGCAGGGUCGGGCCUGGGGAGUACUUGGAUGGGAGACCACCUAGGAAGACCUGGUGCUGUAGGUG
rnacentral:rRNA from 1 species